GGGAACAAUGGCCGGGUUCCCUGUAUCCCGGCGCCAGGAAGUGAUUCGCAGCCGCUGCGGUGACUCGAGCUCCUGGCGAGAUCCCCGAGCCCCGGCGGCUGGUGCUGGGAGCCCGGAGCCCGGGCUGCAGCCGGGAGAGGGGAAUCUCCAGCAGGGCCCUUCCCGCUGCUCCCCAGGAGCCUCUCCCAGGGCAGAGCCCCCAGCCCGGCCAGGCCCCUUCCCGGCCCGGCCCCUGCCCCAGGGGGCCCCGCUCGGAGGGAAGGUAAGAGAGACCCGCCCCCCCGUCACACCCGGGCUGCAGGGGGAGGUUUGGCCCCAGGCUGCUCCCAGCGGAGCUGGCUGCGAUUCCCGCCCUGGGCCCGGGAAAGCUGCCGCCGGCUCCGGUGUGUGCGGGGCGGGGGGAGCCAGCCCGGGCCAUCCGCUGCCCCCACCAUCUACUGCUUUGCUCGUGUGAAGGUGCCGCUCGCUGACCUCUCCUGCAUGGGAGGCCAAGGGGCUCUGCUGGCCCUAGGGGUAAGAGCGGGCAGAGGAGUCAAAUGUGGGGACAAUCCGUGCAGGGGCCAAACUGAUGUGCAGGAGGGUCAAAGCGCUGGAGGGAGGGGAAGGCGAUGGGGAAAAUCAGAGACGGGGUAGUUAGGUACCAGGGUUAAGAAUGUGGCUAAGGCCCGGCCAGGCAGUAUCAGUGGGGAAACCCCAGGAUAAGUAAGGGCAGAGGAGUUAAAAGUGACAACAAUGGGGGUGAGCAAUCUGCAGUGGUUGCAAAAAAGGAUGUUGAGAUGUCAAGGGGUUCCCCGGGGGGGUGGGGGUGGGAUGCUACACCUCAGCACCUGUUCCCAGGAAUGGGUUCUCUCACAGCUGCAUCCCAAGGCUCAGAGGCAUGGAGCUGCUAAAGGAGACCUGAUUCUGCACAAUAUUUCACAUACCCCCCUUCCCCCGCAAAGUUUUAGUGUUUAAAAUAAUCUCUGAUCAGUCGCUAUCUCUGCAUCAUGCCUCACUGAUGCAGGAAGGCUCUUGGUCUGCCUAAGGAUCCAUGAAUGGGAACGGUUCUGCUGGUGUCUGAGUGGGCUGGGAUGUAGGAGACCCAGGUCUCAAGUAGAGGAGGAAAGCAGAUUUGAACAGGGGUCGCCCACAUCCCAGGCUGAGGAAUCACGUCUGCGUUUUGCCCCAGAUCGUCCCGUCUCCAGGAGGCAGGGAAGGGAAAUGCCUGUGAUGGAGCCAGCUCAGAUGCCGGUGACCUUCGAGGAUGUGGCUGUGUAUUUCAC